rnacentral:lncRNA from 1 species
AUGGAAUUCAUCUCUCCUUAGCUAGCGAAGCAACUCUAAACAUGUAAUUAAGAUCAAAGAUACAUUGUUAAGGUUGCCAGCAGUUAAUCAGAUCAUUGAUUUUGCCCCAUUUUUGUGCAUGUAUCGCUGAGGCAAGCACUACGAUCACUGACUUUGAAUCCAGCAGUUAAUCAGAUCAUUGAUUUUGUCCCAUUUUUGUGCAUGUAUCGCUGAGGCAAGCACUAUGAUCACUGACUUUGAAUAACAGAUCCAAGUGUGUCUCUGUCCUCGCCCUGUUCUCCUUAUAAGAAUAUUGAGAUACCAUAUAUGCAAUUAUUAAUUUCAAGUGUUUUGUGAAAACUUUGCAUGGUUUAUCACUAUGUUAGAUGUUGUAGGAGAUACCAACGAAACAAAAGAACUCACCCCUUCCUAAAUGUUGGAGGGUAACACAGCAGACUCCUCGCCAAGGUCUGGCACAUAACAGGGGUUCAGUAACAGUCAAUCCCUUUUCCACCCACCCUUUCUCUUCACAAGAAAAAGCACCCUCCUGCGGGAGAGUAGGGGAGGUGGUGUUCUAACAAUGCUUUCACUCGAUGCUGUGGCUGAACAAAGGUCUAGAGCUUAAAGUCCAAGCCCAGGUCUCAGAAACGGUAGGGAAACCUGUUUUCCUCACGCUUCCAUUUUAUGAACUAUAAAAUGAGAAUAAAACACCUGUCGGCUGUGCAGUAAUCGAAGAUCUUUUUAUUAUCCGAGAAUAAGAAGUGCUAUUGAAACGCAAAGCUUUAUUUAUUACAAAUACUCAGCAGGGACGAAUUCCCAUAGAUACUCUUAACAACUUGGCAGGGGCUCUUCUGACUCCUUCCAAGAUUAAGCUCCUCAUCUCUGCGAACAUAAAACUCGAUCUGCUACACAGCUUGCAGAUCAUGACGCCCUGAACAUCACAGUGACAAUCUCCUGUGCCCUCCGCCUCAGCGUGUUCUGCUAAGGGUGAUAUACUAUCCAUUCGGAAGCUUAGGCGGGCACAUCCUGCUGCUUCAUGGGCUGGGAUGGAUGAAGUGUUGCUGGAAAUCUGGGCCAUUUGUCAACUCCUAGAACAUCUAUCCUCUAGAAACUAGCUAUAAAUACCUUUAGAAAUAACUUCCUUCAAAGGAUUGGGUAAAACAUGCCAACUGGGUUUUUACAAAUGAAAGGUUUACUUUGUCUGGUAAAAGAAAACCGUCGUUACUUCCAAAGGCUCAUUAAAGCCUUUGUAGGUUAACUUGUGGGACGACACUGCCACCUGGUGGUCGGCGUGCACUGUGCGCACGGAGCUCCCCAAUGGAAGUUACACACUGCUCAAAGAACCACCAGACUUAUUAAUAAAGAACUAAGCUCUGAGAACAGCCCUUCUCACAGAGACACUGAUUCUUCUGAAGUGGCUCCAUACAUUUAAGGAAACAUACUAAGCUUGGCAUUUACUGAGUGACCUAAGCAAAGAAUUUUCCUACCCGCUCAAUUCUUAGUACCAGGUGUACUGAAGGACGUGAUUUCUAAAAGCAAAACAAAACAAAAACACUUGAAAGGCAGGCCUGGUGGUGACAAAAUCUCUCAGCAUUUGCUUGUGUGUAAAGGAUUUUAUUUCUCCUUCGCUUAUGAAGCUUAGUUUGGCUGGAUAUGAAAUUCUGGGUUGAAAAUUCUAUUCUUUUUUUUUUUUUGAAACGGAGUCUCGCUCUGUCGCCCGAGUAGCUGGGACUACAGGCGCCCUCCAUCAUGCCCGGCUAAUUUUUUGUAUUUUUAGUAGAGACAGGGUUUCACCGUGUUAGCCAGGAUGGUCUCGAUCUCCUGACCUCGUGAUCCACCUGUCUCAGCCUCCCAAAGUGCUGGGCUUACAGGUGUGAGCCACCGCGCCUGGCCCCUGAAAAUUCUAUUCUUUAAGAAUGUUGAAUGUUGGCCCCCACUCUCUUCUGGCUUGUAGGGUUUCUGCAGAGAUAUCCACUGUUAGUCUGAUGGGCUUCCCUUUGUGGGUAACUUGACCUUUCUGGCCUCCCUUAACAUUUUUUCCUUCAUUUCAACCUUGGUGAAUCUGAAAAUUAUGUGUCUU